rnacentral:lncRNA from 1 species
CUAUCUCUGGAGGGUCUUGAAGAAAGAAGAAAUUCUGUAUUAUCCUAACAGAUGGUUAUGAGGAUCUACUUUCAACCUUCCACAUUAUGUGCUGUGAAUCAAGUCUUCACCCUACCAUUUAUCCAUUGUCUCCAAGAGCUUUUGAUAUAUAAGGAAAUAGGGAAGCCCUACAUAUGGAAAAGUGUAAGGAUUGUAGUGGUGAGAUGUGUGUGGCUGGGAGGCUCUGACCUCUGCAGCAGACCCCCGGACACAGAGCUCCACUUCUUAUUCUCUGUUAAUUGCAGUACAUGCUGCCCAUGCAUAAACAAUCAAAGUUAAACCGAGAAAAGAUGGAUACACAUGGAGCUGCUACCGAUUGGGAAAGGAUUUGGUUAUUUUAUUAUUUCAUAAUGCUGAGCUGUGAUGGACCUGAGGACAUCUGA